rnacentral:rRNA from 1 species
GUGGAUUAGAUACCCUGGUAGUCCACGCUGUAAACGAUGUCAACUAGCUGUUGGUUAUAUGAAUAUAAUUAGUGGCGAAGCAAACGCGAUAAGUUGACCGCCUGGGGAGUACGGUCGCAAGAUUAAAACUCAAAGGAAUUGACGGGGGCCCGCACAAGCGGUGGAGCAUGUGGUUUAAUUCGAUGCGACGCGAAGAACCUUACCUACCCUUGACAUACAGUGGAAUUUGCAGAGAUGCGGAUGUGCCUUCGGGAACACUGCUACAGGUGCUGCAUGGUUGUCGACAGCU